GACGAACGCUGGCGGCGUGCUUAACACAUGCAAGUCGAACGGAAAUGCCCUGCUUUUGUUGGGUGCUCGAUUGGCUAACGGUUGGUUAACACGUGAUUAAUCUGCCCUUGAUUUUGGGAUAUCUUCAGGAAACUGGGGCUACUACCGGAUCGGAGCUCCUGCUUCAUGUUUUUUGUUGGCAAGUUUCGGCUGUCGGGGAUUGACUCGCGGCUUAUUAGCUUGUUGGUGGGUUAGUGGCUUACCAAGGAUUUGACGGGUAGCCGGCCUGAGAGGGUGAGCGGCCACAUAGGGAGUGAGAGACGGCCCAGACUCCGACGGGAGGCAGAAGGGGGGAAUAUUGCACAAUGGGCGGAAGCCUGAUGCAGCAACGCAGCGUGCGGGAAGAAGGACGUCGGGUGGAAAACCGAUUUCGCCUGUGACGAAGCGUGAGUGACGGUAAUGGGUAAAGAAGCAACGGCUAACUACGUG
rnacentral:rRNA from 1 species